rnacentral:rRNA from 1 species
GUGCCAGCAGCCGCGGUAAUACGGAGGGAGCUAGCGUUGUUCGGAAUUACUGGGCGUAAAGCGCACGUAGGCGGCUUUGUAAGUUAGAGGUGAAAGCCUGGAGCUCAACUCCAGAAUUGCCUUUAAGACUGCAUCGCUUGAAUCCAGGAGAGGUGAGUGGAAUUCCGAGUGUAGAGGUGAAAUUCGUAGAUAUUCGGAAGAACACCAGUGGCGAAGGCGGCUCACUGGACUGGUAUUGACGCUGAGGUGCGAAAGCGUGGGGAGCAAACAGGAUUAG